UAGUUCGAAACCAAAAAGAGGUAUAUUAUUGUUAAUAAUAUCAUUGAAUUGUAAUUCCGACUAAG
rnacentral:tRNA from 1 species